rnacentral:rRNA from 1 species
GCCUACAGCCAAACUACUCCGGUUAAGCCUGUUCUCGUCCGAUCACAGAAGCAAAACAGAGUCAGGCCUGGUCAGUACUUGGAUGGGAGACCACCUUUGAAUGCCCCGUGCCAUAGACU